GACGAACGCUGGCGGCGUGCCUAACACAUGCAAGUCGAGCGGAAAGGCCCUUCGGGGUACUCGAGCGGCGAACGGGUGAGUAACACGUGAGUAACCUGCCCCAGACUUUGGGAUAACCCUCGGAAACGGGGGCUAAUACCGGAUACGACACAGCUUCGCAUGGGGUCUGUGUGGAAAGUUUUUCGGUUUGGGAUGGGCUCGCUGCCUAUCAGCUUGUUGGUGGGGUGAUGGCCUACCAAGGCGACGACGGGUAGCCGGCCUGAGAGGGCGACCGGCCACACUGGGACUGAGACACGGCCCAGACUCCUACGGGAGGCAGCAGUGGGGAAUAUUGCACAAUGGGCGGAAGCCUGAUGCAGCGACGCCGCGUGAGGGAUGACGGCCUUCGGGUUGUAAACCUCUUUCAGCAGGGACGAAGCGUAAGUGACGGUACCUGCAGAAGAAGCGCCGGCCAACUACGUG
rnacentral:rRNA from 1 species